rnacentral:rRNA from 1 species
CUACGGGGGGCUGCAGUGAGGAAUUUUGCGCAAUGGGCGAAAGCCUGACGCAGCAACGCCGCGUGAGUGAUGAAGGCCUUCGGGUCGUAAAGCUCUGUCAAGUGGGAAGAACCUAUGUAAUGUUAAUAUCAUUAUAUACUGACGGUACCACUGAAGGAAGCACCGGCUAACUCCGUGCCAGCAGGCCGCGGUAAUACGGGGGGUGCACGCGUUAUUCGGAAUCAUUGGGCGUAAAGGGCACGUAGGCGGCCUGGUAAGUCAGAUGUGAAAGCCCGGGGCUUAACCCCGGAAGUGCAUUUGAUACUGUCAGGCUUGAGUAUGGGAGAGGGAAGUGGAAUUCCUGGUGUAGAGGUGAAAUUCGUAGAUAUCAGGAGGAACACCGGUGGCGAAGGCGACUUCCUGGACCAAUACUGACGCUGAGGUGCGAAGGCGUGGGUAGCAAACAGGAUUAGAUACCCCGGUAGUC